ACAUUGCUGGUUCUGUUGUGUGUGUGUGUGUGAGAACUGAUGCUGGUUCUGGUGUGUGAGAACUGGUUCUGGUAUGUGUAGACGAGAUGUCUCCUGAGGCAAAGUACGUGGACCUGCUCCUGAACCCGGAGAGAUACACCGGAUAUAACGGCCUGUCCGCCUGGAGAGUCUGGAACAGCAUUUAUGAGGAAAACUGCUUCAAAUUGUCCACGAGUAUAAAAGAGUUGCACAACUUCUGCACUCUCCUGAAGGACCACAGGUGACCCCAGUGACCCCAGUGCCUGCUGUAGUGCGGUCAGGCCAGCGCGACCCGUCUCAGGGACCGGCAGAACUCCUCUCGACCCGAUCUCAGUGCGACUCACAGGAACUCUUCAAGCUCUUUAUCCUCCUCUGCAUGUUCAAGACUGUGUGUGUGUGUGUGUGUGUGCGC